AUAUGGCCUCUGGGUUGGACUGCGGCCGAUCAGGCUGUUGGUGAGGUAAUGGCCCACCAAACCUGUUACCGGUACGGGCUCUGAGAGGAGGAGCCCGGAGAUGGGCACUGAGACAAGGGCCCAGGCCCUAUGGGGCGCAGCAGGCGCGAAACCUCUGCAAUAGGCGAAAGCCUGACAGGGUUACUCUGAGUGAUUCCCGCUAAGGGGAUCUUUUGGCACCUCUAAAAAUGGUGCAGAAUAAGGGGUGGGCAAGUCUGGUGUCAGCCGCCGCGGUAAUACCAGCACCCCGAGUGGUCGGGACGAUUAUUGGGCCUAAAGCAUCCGUAGCCGGUCAUGCAAGUCCUCCGUUAAAUCCACCUGCUCAACAGAUGGGCUGCGGAGGAUACUACAAGGCUAGGAGGCGGAAGAGGCAAGCGGUACUCAGUGGGUAGGGGUAAAAUCCUCUGAUCCAUUGAAGACCACCAGUGGCGAAGGCGGCUUGCCAAUACGCGCUCGACGGUGAGGGAUGAAAGCUGGGGGAGCAAACCGGAUUAGAUACCCGGGUAGUCCCAGCUGUAAACGAUGCAGACUCGGUGAUGGGCCGGCUUUAUGCCGGCUCAGUGCCGCAGGGAAGCCGUUAAGUCUGCCGCCUGGGGAGUACGGUCGCAAGACUGAAACUUAAAGGAAUUGGCGGGGG
rnacentral:rRNA from 1 species